rnacentral:lncRNA from 1 species
GACUAUAUAGUUCCUUAUAAUGGGUGACUAGAGGCAUCAUGAUGACCUUGGUCAAAUCAUUAAUAAUGUUAGGAAUGGGAGAUUUGGAGUCUAAGCUUAUAAGUUGGCUUAAUGAUGUGGGAGCAUUAAAUGCAUCCACUGACUUAAAACUUUGUGAUUGAGGGACCUUCAUUUUAGUAAGAGGUAUUUUAGUUUGAACACCAAAGUGACAAUUGAUUUAUUUGUGAAGUUCUGGAGGCUUCUUUAUGUUUGCUUCAUGAACUUUUAUCACGUUAAAUUUACACAAAUCAGGAGGCUUUUGCAAAUAUGUUAUAAGUUCUUUUUAGAGUUGAUCUCUUACUUUUAAACAUAAUUUAAGAGGAAGAUU